rnacentral:rRNA from 1 species
UACAGAGGGUGCAAGCGUUAAUCGGAAUUACUGGGCGUAAAGCGCGCGUAGGCGGCUGCUUAAGUCGGAUGUGAAAUCCCCGGGCUUAACCUGGGAACUGCAUUCGAUACUGAGCAGCUAGAGUAUGAGAGAGGGAGGUAGAAUUCCACGUGUAGCGGUGAAAUGCGUAGAUAUGUGGAGGAAUACCGGUGGCGAAGGCGGCCUCCUGGCUUAAUACUGACGCUGAGGUGCGAAAGCGUGGGGAGCAAACAGGAU